rnacentral:lncRNA from 1 species
CUUUGCAGUUUUGAGCCUCUGUGGGCAUGCUGGUCCACGAGACAUAGAAAAUAUGUGUCACAUCAGUUAAGGGAGAGAGCUUCAAUUCAACGUCUUUUUGAUCAGAGACAUCGCAUUGAAUGUAGUCAACAUAAUUAUCAGUGUUCCACGUUUGGUUGUGGACGGCGAGCCACGCCAUAAACCUUCCAUGGACCACCUGGUGUGUCGUCGAGAGGUAAAAUCUCUGCUAGGCUAUUUCCCACAAUUCCCGUCACGCCUAUAAUUAAUGCUACAUUUUGGAAGCUUCGUGGUGAUUCCUUGAAUUCUGUAAUCUGCACAGGCACAAGAGAGUGAGUAAAAUCUCAUUAGUUGAAAAGAAAAAUAUAAAAGGGCAAGGAAAAUGAAAAGCAUAGAACUUGCUUUGCCAGUGCCAGUUGCUUUAGCUAACCACCAGUUCAUUUUUUCUUUUCAAAGAUACCGAAGAAAAGGAAAUUUAAUCUAAUCAUAUAUCAUUUGUGUGAGUGCCAUAAGCCCAUAAGCCCAUGAUAUCCUCGUUUGCUACGUUAAUACUCACUCCGAUCCUAUUUAUAAGAGACAUUUGUGUCAACAAAAAUUGAUGCAGUGAUCCAAUUUUUUAACCAAAUACAUCAACUUUUAUUGACCUAAAUUUCUCUUAUAUAUUGGACCGAAGAGAGUAUUAUUUUACUAUUACUAUUCAGUUUAAGGGUCCCUUACCCCGAUCCAAUUGUCCACCCUUACCUUUGGACCGGCUCAAAAAGGAUGACAUCCACUUUAUUAUCAGAACAAAUAAGAACCACAUCUACUUUAUCACACAAAAAAAAAAAGAACCACAUCCAUAACAAAAAUUAUGAUUAUAUUUAUAAUAAAAGAAAAGUGUACGCGACACAGAAAUUAACAUGCACGUUUUUAUUUUUUUUUGAUAAAUUAACAUGCACAUUUAAGUUUGAGGUUACUAUGUUGCUUUUCUUCUUGUUCUUUAAAGGGGAGAAACUGACCGCAGAAAAAAUACACUCAACAUGGAGGUCAUGAAAAAUGACUUGGAUCUGUACGCAAGCAAACAGAGGGACCAACAAGAUCGACAACUACCUUUAUUUUGUCUUAACCCUUCAGUUUUUAGGAAAAUUAGGUUAUGAUAAUUUGAAAUUCAGUCGGAGUGUUAAUUAAAAAAUCUAAAAUCUUGGUCGACAAGUAAUUGCUAUACUGCACCAUGGUGAAGAAAAUAAGAAAAUAAUUCAACAAUUGGUCGACAUAUGAAAGAAAAGUCGGUACAUUAAGCACCGCAUUGAACAAAGUUUGAACUUAUUUGACAAGGAAGUUGACACUAAUAAGAGAGUGUAGACGACGCAUAUUAACCGUCAAUGGAAGCAAACAAGAUUUAUUGUUUGACAAAAAUAGUACUGAAAGAUUGCUUGUCAUACUUUCAGCUGUUAGGCGCUGAUAUAAAAGAGAAGAGUAGACAAAUGAGUGAUAUAAGAGAAAGACAUGAUAAGAAUUCGAACUCAUCUCCAGAACACAGCAGAGAAGAGAACACAGAAAUGGAAACUUGAUUAAACAAGAUCACACAACAUAAUGUAGUGUAUCCAUAAAAAUUUCAAGACUAUAAUAUGAUUUACUCCACUAACAUGGUGUGCGCCAAAGUGAUAGAUGCUCAAAUCACUUAUCAUUUGGCCAAAAAUUUCGAUCCAUAACUGAUGUCUAUAGAAAAAAAAAAACUAUGUUGACGUAGAUCAAUUAUUUAUAUGAAUCUUAAUCACCUUGGAGUACAAUCUUGUACGCUUUUAUAUUGUCUAUCCAAUCUUAUUAAUGAAUUUUGAAUUCAUAAAUAUCAAUUAGCCAUGUUACUUGGAAGGGUUGUUCACGGUUUAGAUGACUCGUUCAAACCAAUGACUUAAAUCAAUCCAACAUUCAAGUUUGGAUCUAACACAAACUAAUCCGUUCGAUUUCAGAAUGGUUUGGUUCGGAUAAUGAAUUUGUGAUUCCAAACUUGCGAGCUCGGUUUCUUAAAAUAAUCCUGAUGUUCGUUCAUAAUAACCUAAUAAGGAUCUUCAUUCUAUCACAUCUAAAAGUGGUAAUUCUAAAAUUGACAGCCUUCCGUGAUGAGAGGUUGUGGUCAUGGUUUAUGUGUUAUUGUUAUCUAUCUAUCUAUAUGUAUCAGUUUGUUGUACGAGUGUGAAAGUACUAUGGUAUCAAAAUUAUAUGUUUAAAUAACCUUUAUUGGUUAUGUCCAGUGAAGAGAUAUAUAUAUAUAUAUAUAUAUAUAUAUAUAUAUAUAUAUAUUAUUUGUGUGCUAUAUGUAUUUUGUAUUAUUGUCCCAUGUUAUAUGCUUAUACAGGUGUAUGCAGAUUGAAAUAAAAUUCACAUGUGUUUCUUGUGUCUGAGUCCAUCACAAUACGUAGCAUCUUUUAUUUUUCUAUUCUUGAACCAUAUAAUGUAACUUAGAAAUUAUUAAUAUGUGAAGAAGUUAAGAGAAUUAAGAAAUAGCGAAAGUGUGAACAUUACCAAACAAGUGAACAUUAUUACAGAAAGAGCAAAAACCAUAAAACAUAGAAAAGUAAAAAAAAAAAAUCUCUUUCCACCCCACCAUGGGACUUUAUUUACCACAAUCCAGAGCUGAAAUUAAUCAUCAUGGCACAAUCUUGUAAGCUUUUGUCUUGUCAAUCCAACUAAUGAAUGAAUUCUUAGAAUUCCUAAAUCCUAUGAAUCCAUGUUCCUUAGCUUUGUUCAUAGAAUCCAACACACCCUCCAGUCUCAAACUAAAAUCUGCAAACCACCAAUCUCCAACUUCUUCAAGCUUGGUGUACAACAAUUCAUUCUCCCUCACAAUCUCUUCCCACACACCACCCUUAUCCUUCAUCAAAUCCGAUAACCUCAACUCCGACCCCUCCUCAAAUCCAUAAUCAUCGAUCUCAAACCGUUCUGCUAACACCUUCCACAAAUGUUUCCACUUGAAAACAUCACCAUUACUGCAAUUGAAUGCUUCAUUCUUUGCGUUAGGAUCCGCUGCACCCCAAAUAUGUUGUUCGGCUAUUAAAUUAGCAUCUGAAGCAGUAGAAUAACACUCCCAUGCACCUUUUGAGCCAGGAAACCUUAAAGGAAGACCCUCAUGCUUGCAAAUUGCGGCGUAAACACAAAGCGUGCCAAUGACGUUCAUCAUGCUAUAAGGUGAAAAUCCAAAGAUGGGGUGUGGUCGAUUAAUGAACCAUGUCGUUCCUUUUUUCUUACCCACCUGAACAAAUAUAUUGUUCAUUUAAUUAUAUAAUAAUGUAUGUGAUACCCCCUAAAAAAUAAAUAGAUGUGAAACUAUUUGCUAAAAAGAAUGUAUGCGAUAUACUAAUUCUUGUUUAAGUGACUAAAUAUAAGUUCCAAGAUUAAUUUAACACAGAAAAUAUAAUUCCAAAGAAUGUUAGUAAUAUAUAAUUUCAAUUUGUUAAAAACAUAGUGGAAAAAGGUUAGAUUGUAUUGAUAUUUCUAUGAUCAUAUGAGUCUAGUAUGUGUUUCAAAUUCAAAACUAAACUUAUUUGUUUACUUUAUAAUAAUCUUUUGUUGUAAAGACAUUUUUUUAGAAAGUCUAGUUUGCAAUAAUUUUAUGCACCAACCUCUUCUAACAAGAUAUCCUCCUGUGUGUAAUAGAAAUUGGGUGUGACAAGGCGUGGCACAUCCUCCGUGAAGGGGGACUCAUGGGCCUUGAUCUUACCGAUCGUUUCGAAGGAUCCUAGGUAGUGCUUAGUUCCUGUUUGAAGGGACACAUGGCAAAGAUUGAGAGUAUUUGGGAUGAGGGCUCGAAGGACGUUCCUUAACAUUGAACCGUUAACUUCGCAGUUUUGAGCCUCUGUAGGCAUGCUGGUCCACGAGACAUAGAAAAUAUGUGUCACAUCAGUUAAGGGAGAGAGCUUCAAUUCGACGUCUUUUUGGUCAGAGACAUCGCAUUGAAUGUAGUGAACAUACUUAUCAGCGUUCCACGUUGGUUGUGGACGGCGAGCCACACCAUAAACCUUCCAUGGACCACCUGGUGUGUCGUCGAGAGGUAGAAUCUCUGCUAGGCUAUUUC